GAUGAGGUACGCGAAGCGCCGGCAUUAGAUUGUAUCGCUGCGAAAGCUUGCCCGAGCACGCUUUCGCUAUUCGGUUAUUUUUGUGCGGUGUCUGGUCUCACCCAGGCUGUGCUCCCACCACGCAUGAACUGAAAAUUGCUCCUGCAAGCGUAAGGGAGCGCACGCUAUGUGGCAAGUCUCGUUUCGAUCGCCGCAUCGGAUCCCAUUCAUUGAUACAACGUGAACGGCGGCAGAAUGAAAGUACACCGCAGGAACAACGAGUACGAGGGCGACCUUUGGAGGC
rnacentral:lncRNA from 1 species